UCCCCAAGCAUGAUAAACCUCCUCAGUGCCACCAUUACAUAGGCUUCAUUGCCAACAUGCCUCUUGUCAUUCCAUUCUUAUACUCCCUAGCCAGCAUUCGCAGCAUCUUUUGACAAGGAUUAGGGGAAAAGGAAACAUGUCUUGUUCGAGUGUUUAUCGAUGUAGAAUUUAAGCUUUUCCAAACAGGUGUUACACAGGACAACAAUUUUAACAAAAAUUAAAACAUGUCUACUCUUGCCCUGCAGGGAGUUAGGUCAUUUUAACGUUAGUAAGACAUGAG